GACGAACGCUGGCGGCGUGCUUAACACAUGCAAGUCGAGCGGUAAGGCCCCUUCGGGGGUACACGAGCGGCGAACGGGUGAGUAACACGUGAGCAAUCUGCCCUUCACUUUGGGAUAACUCUGGGAAACGAGAGCUAAUACCGAAUACGACCACUUCAGGCAUCUGAUGGUGGUGGAAAGUUCCGGCGGUGAAGGAUGAGCUCGCGGCCUAUCAGCUAGUUGGUGGAGUAACGGCCCACCAAGGCUUCGACGGGUAGCCGGCCUGAGAGGGUGACCGGCCACACUGGGACUGAGACACGGCCCAGACUCCUACGGGAGGCAGCAGUAGGGAAUAUUGGACAAUGGGCGCAAGCCUGAUCCAGCCAUGCCGCGUGAGUGAAGAAGGCCCUCGGGUUGUAAAGCUCUUUUGUCCGGAAAGAAAAGCGCCGGGUUAAUACCCUGGUGUCCUGACGGUACCGGAAGAAUAAGCACCGGCUAACUUCGUG
rnacentral:rRNA from 1 species